UUUCCCUUUAGGUUUAAUGAUAAACUUUAACAACGGUGGUUCCGGCAUAAACUGAAACAAUGAUUCAAGGAGAAAGAUGCUGUGCCCUGGAGAAAAUUCACCUUCCUUGGAAGGACCCAGUUUGGAAAUGUGUAUAGACAGACAAGAUAUCUGGGAUGGAAGCAUCUGGGAAAAUGCUGUUCACUGCCAAAGCUUGACAGAUAAGCUACCAAAGAGAAUGAGGACUUGAAGGCGUCCUGGGAAAUGGAGUCCAGUAUCUUCAUUUUGAAAACAAUGGAACCGAGGUUCUGAGAAGUAAAGUGACUGGCCCAAGUUCUCACAACCAGCAACUGAACAAGCUGAAUUAAACUACA